GGGCAGUUAGCUCAGUUGGUUCAGAGCACUACGUUGACAUCGUAGAGGUCACUGGUUCGAGCCCAGUACUGCUCA
rnacentral:tRNA from 2 species